GCCAAGAUCAAUUUAUUAGCUCCCACUCAAACACCCUCAGAAAUCCAGUCAACAAUAAAUACGUUUUUACACCAUCAUUAAGUUUCAGCCAUUUUUCUAUACAAGAUGCAGAUGCUCUUUAACUUUUACCAAAAGUACAAAACCUGUUUUUAAUCACUUUGCAAAAUUGAAUAAAAAAAAAAAAAGAAUGUUAAGGCUUGUGACCCUAAACCAGAGGAAGGCCUCAACUGGUGGUCUAUGCUAGAGUCAGUGUUACACUGCUUUAGGGUCCGUGUAUUAUCUGUCCAUUCAACAAUUCCAUUCAAUCUAGUCGACGAAAAAAAUGAGUCAAUAUUUUGUUUGUUUUUUCUGUAUAACCAACACAUAAAAUAAAAAUAGUGUUUGUUUUCGUAUUUUCAGUUCAAAAUAGAAUAUAUAAUAGAGAAGGAAACGAAAACAAAAUAAAUCUACUUUUCGUUUUCGAGUGAUGUCCCCAUUUUCCACGGUGCCUUUCUACUGUUCACACACGCGCAUUACGCGACAAAGUAGCCAACAAGGUGGACCAAAAACUCGCGGCCAGAGUGGUAGAAAAAGGUUAGCCUACUGUCAUGGAGAUGGACGCAUCCCACGUAAGCCGCCAGGAAGGUGACACUGAAGAAGGAGGAUAUGACUGUAGAAAAAAUUACAACCAGAGCUCUGUUACAACGUAAGAUUUUGGCACUCAAACCGCUCUGUUGCAUCUGUCGCCAUGGUAACUGUCGCUGAGGAUCAUGGGAAGGCCAAUGUAGCCUUCAUGCAUGUAUGCUCAAAACAGGCGCACUCAAAAUCGUAAAUUGUAAAUAAGAUUUAUUAUUUCGUUUUCGUUUCCUUCUCUAUUAUAUAUAAAACAAACACUAUUUUUUUUUUUUUUUGGUUAUACAGAAAAACAAAUAAACAAAAUAUUGACACUUUUUUUAAAUUAUUUUUUUAUUAGAUUGAAUGAAAUAAUUGAACGGAUGGAUAAUACAUGGACCUUUUAGGUAUCAAACAACAUUAAAUUAUGUAACAUUCUCCUCAUAAUGUUCUCAUCAAUGUUUUUAUUCCCUUAAUUUCUUCCCAAAUAUUAUAUUUGAAAAGUUUAUUUGCAUAUUGUCGGUUCAAAUGCAUCAUAAUUUGGACAAAACAUUAAAACAGUAUGUCACCCUUUUUCUCAGUUAAUCAAAAAUACAAUGCAUCCUGUCUAGUGCACUCAUCUAUGCAUGUUACAUUUAGAUUGGAUUGUUUUAACUCCUCUAAAAAUAAAUUAACCUCUAAAUACUCAUCAGUUGGUCCAAAAAAUCUGCAGCUCAAAUACUGACCAGAACCAGGAGAGGAGAGCGCGUCUCUCCUGUACUAGCCUCUCUACACUGACUCCCCAUAAAAUCUAGGAUAGGAUUUGAAAUUCAUGUGUUGACCUAGCUCUCGAGGGUCAGACACCAUCAUGUCUUAAAGAAUUCAUACUGCCCUAUGACCCUUUUGGAGGACUACACUCACAGUAUGCAGCCUCUCUUGUCAUUGUCAUCCUACCUCAAGUCUCUCAAAGUAGCCUGGGAUAUAUGGCUUUCCAUUUUCUGGCCCCUCUCCUUGGGAAUCAGUCAGAGGCAGGUCCUCUCUCCACUCUCAAGAGUAGACUCAAAACUUUCCCUUUUGAUAAACCUUAGAGCUGGGGCUUGUGACAUUUCUUAAUUAUGUUCCUAUAGGUUUAGACUGCUGGGAGGACUGGCACACUGAGCAUCUGUCUCUCCUCUCUAUCUGUUUGAGUGUCUUUAAAUCCUCAUGUCCCAUUAAAGUCACCUUCCACAGAUCUUUCUGGCAGCCCCUGAGCUCCCUUGUCCUGUAGGUUCCCCUGAACCGUUGCUGCAGACAGCUUCAACCACUUAAAUUAAUUGUUACUGAUGUGUGUCUCUAUCCAUCUCUCUGUCGGCACCUUCCUUCAUCCCCCUUCCAAUCCCAACACAGUCUCAACAGAUAACUGUCUCAGAUGAGUCUGGUUCUGCUCACGGUUUCUGCCUGUUAAAAGGAUGUUUUCCCUGUCACUGCAUCUUGGUAAAUGCUGCAAAGUGCUCUGCUCAUGGUAGAUUAAGAUAGGAUAAGGAUGGCUCUUAUCUUGCAAGGUGAGACUCAGUCUUAUCUUGACGUUUGUCAACGAUAAAACAUGGAGUAUGGUCGACACCCGCUCUUUCUGUGAAGCCUCUUGAGAUAACACAUGUAGUUAUUUGGUACUAUAUCAAUUAAAAUUGACAGAUUGAUGAAAACGAAUUCAAUCUAAACAUUAUUAUUUUUUGAUGUAGCACUAUGAUACUCAAUCUGGUAUAUGAAAGGACACAUACCAACAUAGCAUCAAAUAAACUUAACCUCUAACUCAGACUGAACUGAGGCCAUCUGUGUGUCAGAUGAAUGUGAUGAUGUUAUACCUUUAAAGUCAUGAAGGGGCUUUUCUCAAACUCCAAGAAAAGAUUUAUUCUAAAAGAUUUACAGUAUCUAUAGUCAUGAAGGAGAAGAAAUUCAUAUUUUCAACCCAAAGAUUGAAUAUAUUUCUUGUGUGAUCUCCUGUGAGUUCUUUGAGGGCCAAAAAUGUUUCCAGAACAAUGAACAACUUUUGGUUGACCAAAGUAGAAUUUACAAUCCAAAGGUUGACAGAUCGUUAAUUAUGUAUUUUUUUAUGAUAAAGCUUUUAGUAAUACAGUCUUAACUGUGUGAAAAUCCCUCAGGUACUGUGGAAUCUCCAUUAAGUGCGGUGGCUUCAGUAAUCAUUGCUGAUGUACAGACGUGAUGGUAAUCUUUUAUCAUUUUAUGUGCUUUAAACCGUAAAGCUAACUCCAUCUGCAGUCGAGCUAAAAAGAAAAGGUCCCCUAUAACUAAACAUAGCAGAUAGUAAGUCAAGGGAAAUAUUAAUCAAGCAUUGACCAACUGAGAGCACAACUGCAAAUAAAAUCACAGUUCUUUACAGUCUGUGACCUGUAACAAAGGGAGAGGCUAAAAAAACGCCACUAGAACCUGCUCAUGCUUUACAAUUUACUUUUAAUUUUUCAAUCAAGUGAAUAAAAACACCCAACUAUAGUAUGAGAAGAGUUCACAUUCAUGGAGGUGCCAAACCAACUGAACUUCAUGGUUCACACCUAAUCUUCUCACGCCCGACUGGGUCAGUGGCCAACCAGCAAAGUCACAAGUCUAAAAACAGACACCAGAUCCAGACAUUCUCCUUAGAAAGCAAUAAAUAUAUAAAAUAUCAUUUCAGAAGAUCUGCAUUCAAGCAUACAGCAUGGGACUAAUUUGAUCCAAAUGUUAUUUGGAUAUUUGGUUAGAAGUAUCUGCAUUUCUCUUUUCUGAAACAGGCAGAUUAAAAAGUGACUGUGGAUGAUAAGUAGCUCUUACUCUCUUCAGGCUAACUCAGCAUGUUUCAAAUUUGACUAAAAGGCAUUUUCAUUUCCUUCUCGUAACAAACACAGUUUUCAGAAGUUAGAACUGGUCUGGGUCCCCUGUGUCACCUAAACAUUACACGAUUAUCCUCUAUCCCUCCAGUGCAUCUACUUACAGUUUCUCAACCUGUAAAAACUUAAAACAGCAGCUGAAAUGUCAAAAUCUCUUGACUUUUCUGAAAGAUUUUCCCUCUACACAUUUUCUUAAGGCAGCAAUUUUCAAAAAUUCAAUCAAUAGUUAAAAAACAAAAUACUGUAUGUCUAUAUCUGACGCUUAAAUGAUGAGAAGCAAAAUCAUGUUAUAAAUUGAGGCUUGGAAGAUGAGGAUAUUGACUAUUUAAGAAUUGUUGGACCCCAUAUCUUGAAACGAUGAGAUCUCUUCCUGUAACAACAAUGUAAGGAUCUCAGAAUCCUGGAUCAUCUGCUUCUUAACCUAGUUUUGGUUUGAGGCAGUCUGAAAUAUCAAUUCAGUAUCUAUGCAUAUCUAUAUUUUAUCUAUUCAGUAUAUUUUAUCCUACACUACAGCCUGACCAGGGACAAGGACUGCAAAUUAGCUGAAUCUGGACGUCUUGUAUGCAUCAACAUUUUCCAUUUCUUGUGACGAUGUUGUAUGUAUUGUUCCUGUUAAAUAAACACUAAAAUAAGUCAAUAGAGUUUAAAUGUUUUUGACAUACCAAUCAGCAUUUCUGCUCUCUCCCCUUUUUUCUAAAAUUUUGCAGGUAGGUGUGUUACUAAGUACACAGCAGAUUUCAACCUUCCUACUUUCAGCAUUCACCUUUUGUUUUCCUUUUGUGCCCUUAUAAAUGCAGAGAGAACAAACAGGCUGCUUUAAACGUUGUGUCAAUGCACAGAUUGAUGUUGUAUCCACUGAAACAAAUGUGGAGACUUUCACAAUCAACAGAUGGGCAGAUAUUUAAGCACAAGGCACAGCCUGUGUGUAUUCAUAACAGCGAAAAAUAAUAAUGACGAGUCGCAUGCCAAGACACUUCAUGCCGGGUGUUUGUUAGGGCCAUUUGUCUAACAAUAUUGACUGUUUUGCAUUAACUGAAAUGUUAAGUAGUGGUGGGAGACUGCGUGGUUUUUCAAGGCCACUGAGACAUUCUUGUAAAAACACAGGCUGCACUGUCAGGUGAAGCUGACAGUCACAGAUGUGUGUCAUUAUGCAAUCUAAAUUCAUUCAUUUGGACAGACACAUUCAAGUAUUCAGUAAAUGAUGAUAUCCAGUCAAGAUUUUUCAUUAACACGCCAAAAAAUGAAUAUCUUGUAUGAAGACUCCUGGGCGGCAGUAGCUCAGGAGAUAGGGCGGUCAGCCAAUAACUGGAAAGUUGGUGGUUCGAAUCCCACCCUAUCCUUAGUCUGUCUGUUGUGUCCUUGGGCAAGACACUGAACCCACCUUGUUUCCAGUGUGUUCUCCGCUGGUGUAUGAAUGUGAGUGUUGUCUGGUGGUGGUUGGAGAGGCCAUAGGUGCAAACUGGCAGUCACGUGUCCAUCAGUCUGCCCUAGGGCAACUGUGACAGCUAAGGUAGUUUACGACCACCAGGGUGUGACUGUGUAAACAAAUGAAUGAUGUAUCCAAUGUAAAGCGCUUUGAGGUCACUGACAAAAAGCGCUCUAAAAUCUGAUGCAUUAUUAUCAUAAUCUAUACUAGUAUGGUUUUAAUUGUCUGGGCUCUAUUCUACAUUUGUAUGUUUUAUCAUUUUAUCUCAUAUUUGCAAGGUAAAAGGUCCAAAAUAAUCUUCAUAGAUAGAAAAAAAAUGCACCACUGUAGUUUUUGACUUUCUUUGUUUCAAACCAACAAUCACACCAAUCUGGGACAAAUGACCUUCUUUGGAUAACAGCUGCAAGCUGCACAAACCCAAUAAUAACAUAAGUCGACUUGACCUCUCAAUAAAUUGAAUGUAGUGUAGAUCAGCUCUUAUUGUCACCAGUGUCACCAGUGUCUUGAGAUGACACUUUUUAUGAACUGGCAAAAUAUAAAGGUAGGUUGAUUGAUUGAUUGAUUUCAGUCAAAUGGAGUAAAAAAAUGAUAACGUGAAUAUAUUUUGGGGGUUUCUCUUGCUGGCCUUUUAGUGUAAGCAGGAAAAAAGAAAAAC